rnacentral:snRNA from 1 species
GGAUGUGAAGGUGAUCUGACUGCGACAUCUGUCACCCCAUUGACUUCCAGGAUUGAUUCAUCUGAUCUGGCAGGCUAGGCAGGUGUCCCCUUCCUCUCUCACCACUCAUAUGUGUCCCUCCCAAAGCUGCUCCUUGGUAGAAGAGGAUGAUCACCCCUGAUAGAGGAGGACCGUUUCCUUGGUCCAGGGUAUAUGAGUAGCUGCGCGCCCCUGCUAGAACCUUCAAACGAGCUCUCCAAGAAUUUAGUAUAAUGACUAUUUCCAUAGUGUUUAU